AGCAGCCGCGGUAAUUCCAGCUCCAAUAGCGUAUAUUAAAGUUGUUGCAGUUAAAAAGCUCGUAGUUGAAUUUCGGGAUCAAUAUGUUGGUCGUGCCUCGGUACGUACUAGCAUAUUGGUUUCUCCUUUCUGAAGAACCAUGAUGUCAUUUAUUUGGUGUCGUGGGGAAUCAGGACUGUUACUUUGAAAAAAUUAGAGUGUUUAAAGCAGGCUCACGCUUGAAUACAUUAGCAUGGAAUAAUGAAAUAGGACGUUUGAUUCUAUUUUGUUGGUUUCUAGGAUCGACGUAAUGAUUAAUAGGGAUAGUUGGGGGCAUUAGUAUUCAAUUGUCAGAGGUGAAAUUCUUGGAUUUAUUGAAGACUAACUACUGCGAAAGCAUUUGCCAAGGAUGUUUUCAUUAAUCAAGAACGAAAGUUAGGGGAUCGAAGACGAUUAGAUACCGUCGUAGUCUUAACCAUAAACUAUGCCGACUAGGAAUCAGACGAUGUUAAUUUUUUAAUGACUCGCUU
rnacentral:misc_RNA from 1 species